AAUCUUUCCGAAAUCUCCGAUAUCCAAUUAAUCCUUGAAUCGGUAACUCAACUGAUUAGGCACGAUUCCCGAUUUCUGCGACACUGAUUUUGGAGGACAAGUACUUUAGCAGAAAAUUCUAAAACUUUUUUUAUCGCUUUUCAUUUCAACUUUUCGUUUUCCUUUUCUGAUUUCAAGUAUAAAGAAAGGGUACCGGUCAUUGAUAAACAUAUGUCAGGAACGGGCAGACUUGUUAACCAGCCCAUAACCUCUUGGCCAUUCCAUCUAUUAUUAUAAUCCUGACCGUUCAUGAUAUAAAAUGUCUUGAAUGCUAACAAGAAGGAUUUACAAAAACCGUUCCUGGCAUAUGUAUGCUAGGGAUCUGGACCCAUAAAGAAAAUGUCUUGAAUCCUAACAGGAAGGAUUUACAAAGUGAAAAGCUUCCCAGGAAUGUACCAAGUACUUCAUCUGCACUUUUCUUCAAGUAUACUGCAUUGGGCCGCCCUACCGACUACCGAGUUUUGGUUGAUACCAAUUUAGGCUGGUUUGAUGUAUUACUGUUGAUUGUUAUAUUUAUAUAUUAAUUUUAACAAAUUAAAAUACCAUCAAGCUCCUUAAAAAGCAUGCAUCAAUUUUAACAUUGAAUUAUUAUUGUACAUGCUCCCUAUCAACUAAGUGAUGCAUUGCAUAUGUUGUAAUAUAGUUUAAAAGGAUUUCCUAACAUAGAUGUAGAGUAUUUUUGCUCAUUCCCCUAAUAAGAUGAAGUUGAACAUACCCAUCUGCAACCUCAUUGUUCUUACAGAUUUGAGCUAAGAAUUUGGAUAAUAUUCCUGUACGUGAUCCAUUUUAACUUUAAGUGAAAGUAGCUAUGAUGAAUUCUUUUAAUUUCAUUACUUCGCAGUCUGCAUAAAUAUACACAGAUAUAAACCUAAAGUAUAUUAUGCUGACGCCCUCAAUAAUAAUGUAUGAUUUUUUUUUAGUUACAGUUAGAUGAAAUAACUUGAAGUAGCAAGUUACCUUAUCUAAAAUGAGGCAAAUAUGCUUUAAGUCAUGUUUUUGCUAAUUUCCUGAAUUACUAACGGCUCUCUUAGGUGUCCCAUGACUUUUUGCACGUAUAUUGAGUUGCUUAAAAAUGGCACUAAUUAAACAUUCUUUUACUUGUUUUUCUAUUAAAAAGAAAAUAAAAGAAAAUUAUAAUAGUAAGUUUUAGAAGUAUCAUUUUUAUGCACCUUAAUGGGGAUAAAGGGAGUAUUAAGUAAUCUGAUCCCUAUGCUUACUUAUAUAUGCAGGUACACCAUGUAUUACUGAUUGUGUGAAUGGCAUAACUUGAAAAGCUAGGACAGAAAUACUGAAUUGCUCUCAGAAUUGCAAAAGAUCCUCGAUUUGAAAGACUACCUUGCACUCACAAAGGAACUUAUGCUGAUGACUGUCUUGUGGAGCGGGUUACUCAGCACAAGUGCUAUAUGGUAGCAACCUGUGAUCGAAAUCUGAAGAGAAGAAUCUGCAAGAUACCUGGUGUGCCAAUCAUGUACAUUACCAAACACAAGUAUUCAAUUGAACGUUUGCCUGAAGCAACAAUGGGUGGAGGUAGGGUAGAUAUUCCAGGUCGUCACUAUAAUAUAAUAUCCGACAGCCUUUGUUUUUGUCUAAUAUAUGUUUGUAUCAUGGUGCAGC